UUGUAAAAGGUGUUGAGAUUGUCUUGAAUGCUGCAAGUUUGGGUAGAUUGCUUCAAAUGCCUUGUGAGAGAAGCUGUCUUGAUGAGCUUUCUAGGAAAGAGGAUGGACUUAAAUCCAUCCUAGGAAGAAAUAAUGUUGUAGGUUUCAUGAAGAUAGAGGCAAAAGAUUUGAGUGUGGAGAUGAGACUACUCCACCACAUGAUCUCUAGGAUCUUCUUCCCCAAAGGGAGAAGAUAUGACCUGAUGA
rnacentral:lncRNA from 1 species